rnacentral:rRNA from 1 species
CGGCGAGUGAAGCGGCAACAGCUCAAAUUUGAAAUCUGGCCCUCUCGGGGCCCGAGUUGUAAUUUGCAGAGGGUGCUUUGGCGUCGGCUGUGGUCUAAGUUCCUUGGAACAGGACGUCGCAGAGGGUGAGAAUCCCGUAUGUGGCCGCCAGCCUUCGCCGUGUAAAGCCCCUUCGACGAGUCGAGUUGUUUGGGAAUGCAGCUCUAAAUGGGAGGUAAAUUUCUUCUAAAGCUAAAUAUCUGCCAGAGACCGAUAGCGCACAAGUAGAGUGAUCGAAAGAUGAAAAGCACUUUGGAAAGAGAGUCAAAAAGCACGUGAAAUUGUUGAAAGGGAAGCGCUUGCAGUUAGACAUGCCUUUAGUUGCUCAGCCGGGCUCUUUGGCCCGGUGCACUCUUCUAUCGGCAGGCCAGCAUCAGUCUGGGCGGUCGGAUAAAGGCCUAUUAAACGUGACUCCCUUUGGGGAGAGCUUAUAGGGUAGGCGCCAUGCGACCAGCCUGGACUGAGGUCCGCGCAUCCGCUAGGAUGCUGGCGUAAUAGCUGCAAGCGGCCCGUCUUGAAACACGGACCAAGGAGUCUAACAUCUAUGCGAGUGUUUGGGUGUCAAGCCCGGGCGCGUAAUGAAAGUGAACGGAGGUGGGAUCCCUUCGGGGUGCACCAUCGACCGAUCCUGAUGUCUUCGGAUGGAUUUGAGUAAGAGCAUAGCUGUUGGGACCCGAAAGAUGGUGAACUAUGCCUGAAUAGGGUGAAGCCAGAGGAAACUCUGGUGGAGGCUCGCAGCGGUUCUGACGUGCAAAUCGAUCGUCAAAUUUGGGCAUAGGGGCGAAAGACUAA